CGGACGACGCUGGCGGCGCGCCUAACACAUGCAAGUCGAACGGAGGUUUCCCCUUCGGGGGGAGCUUAGUGGCGGACGGGUGAGUAACACGUGAGGAACCUGCCUUUGAGAGCGGGAUACCGUCUGGAAACGGACGUUAAUACCGCAUAAUGCAGCGAGGCCACAUGGCCAUGGCUGCCAAAGAUUUAUCGCUCAAAGAUGGCCUCGCGCCUGAUUAGAUAGUUGGCGGGGUAACGGCCCACCAAGUCUGCGAUCAGUAGCCGGACUGAGAGGUCGAACGGCCACAUUGGGACUGAGAUACGGCCCAGACUCCUACGGGAGGCAGCAGUGGGGGAUAUUGCACAAUGGGCGAAAGCCUGAUGCAGCGACGCCGCGUGAGGGAAGACGGUUUUCGGAUUGUAAACCUCUUUCAGCAGGGAAGAAGCGAAAGUGACGGUACCUGCAGAAGAAGCACCGGCUAACUACGUG
rnacentral:rRNA from 1 species